GACGAACGCUGGCGGCGUGCUUAACACAUGCAAGUCGAACGUUGAAGCUUGGUGCUUGCACUGGGUGGAUGAGUGGCGAACGGGUGAGUAAUACGUGAGUAACCUGCCCUUGACUCUGGGAUAAGCCUGGGAAACUGGGUCUAAUACUGGAUACGACAUGUCACCGCAUGGUGGUGUGUGGAAAGGGUUUUACUGGUUUUGGAUGGGCUCACGGCCUAUCAGCUUGUUGGUGGGGUAAUGGCUCACCAAGGCGACGACGGGUAGCCGGCCUGAGAGGGUGACCGGCCACACUGGGACUGAGACACGGCCCAGACUCCUACGGGAGGCAGCAGUGGGGAAUAUUGCACAAUGGGCGGAAGCCUGAUGCAGCGACGCCGCGUGAGGGAUGACGGCCUUCGGGUUGUAAACCUCUUUCAGCACGGAAGAAGCGAAAGUGACGGUACGUGCAGAAGAAGCGCCGGCUAACUACGUG
rnacentral:rRNA from 1 species